GACGAACGCUGGCGGCGUGCCUAAUACAUGCAAGUCGAGCGAACAGACGAGGAGUUUGCUCCUCUGACGUUAGCGGCGGACGUGUGAGUAACACGUGUAUAACCUACCUAUCAGACUGGGAUAAUUUCGGGAAACCGGAUCUAAUACCGGAUAAUCUAUUGCACCGCAUUGUUCAAUAGUUAAAUACGGUUUUGCUGUCACUUAUAGCUUGAUCCGCGCCGCAUUAGCUGGUUGGUAAGGUAACGGCUUAUCACGGCGACGAUGCGUAGCCGACCUGAGAGAGUGGUCGGCGGCCUGGGAGCUGAGACACAGACAAGACUCCUGCGAGAGGCAGCAGAAGGGAAUGUUACGCAAUGGGGGAGAGCCUGACAGAGCAAGGCGGCGUGAGUGAUGAAGGUCUCAGGAGCGGAAAACUCUGUUAUGAGGGAAGAACAAAUGUGUAAGGAACUGUGCACGGAUUGACGGUACCGGGUCAGAAAGCCACGGCUAACUACGUG
rnacentral:rRNA from 1 species